rnacentral:rRNA from 1 species
UACGUAGGGGGCUAGCGUUGUCCGGAAUCAUUGGGCGUAAAGCGCGUGUAGGCGGUCCGGUAAGUCCGCUGUGAAAGUCGGGGGGCUCAACCCUCGAAUGCCGGUGGAUACUGUCGGGCUAGAGUGCGGAAGAGGCGAGUGGAAUUCCUGGUGUAGCGGUGAAAUGCGCAGAUAUCAGGAGGAACACCAAUUGCGAAGGCAGCUCGCUGGGACGUAACUGACGCUGAGACGCGAAAGCGUGGGGAGCAAACAGG